rnacentral:rRNA from 1 species
CCUACGGGGUGCAGCAGUAGGGAAUCUUCCACAAUGGGCGAAAGCCUGAUGGAGCAACGCCGCGUGCGUGAAGAAGGUCCUCGGAUCGUAAAACCCUGUUGUUAGAGAAGAAAGUGCGUGAGAGUAACUGUUCACGUUUCGACGGUACCUAACCAGAAAGCCACGGCUAACUACGUGCCAGCAGCCGCGGUAAUACGUAGGUGGCAAGCGUUAUCCGGAUUUAUUGGGCGGAAAGGGAACGCGGGCGGUCUUUUAAGUCUGAUGUGAAAGCCUUCGGCUUAACCGGAGUAGUGCAUUGGAAACUGGGAGACUGGAGUGCAGAAGAGGAGAGUGGAACUCCAUGUGUAGCGGUGAAAUGCGUAGAUAUAUGGAAGAACACCAGUGGCGAAAGCGGCUCUCUGGUCUGUAACUGACGCUGAGGUUCGAAAGCGUGGGUAGCAAACAGGAUUAGAUACCCCUGUAGUC